CAUUCGAAACUGGCAGGCUUGAGUCUUGUAGAGGGGGGUAGAAUUCCAGGUGUAGCGGUGAAAUGCGUAGAGAUCUGGAGGAAUACCGGUGGCGAAGGCGGCCCCCUGGACAAAGACUGACGCUCAGGUGCGAAAGCGUGGGGAGCAAACAGGAUUAGAUACCCUGGUAGUCCACGCCGUAAACGAUGUCUACUUGGAGGUUGUGCCCUUGAGGCGUGGCUUCCGGAGCUAACGCGUUAAGUAGACCGCCUGGGGAGUACGGCCGCAAGGUUAAAACUCAAAUGAAUUGACGGGGGCCCGCACAAGCGGUGGAGCAUGUGGUUUAAUUCGAUGCAACGCGAAGAACCUUACCUGGUCUUGACAUCCACAGAACUUUCCAGAGAUGGAUUGGUGCCUUCGGGAACUGUGAGACAGGUGCUGCAUGGCUGUCGUCAGCUCGUGUUGUGAAAUGUUGGGUUAAGUCCCGCAACGAGCGCAAC
rnacentral:rRNA from 1 species